GCCGGGGUGGCCGAGUUCAGUUUUAGGCGGGCGGUUGCAGACCGCCUCACGUCGGUUCGAAUCCGACCCCCGGCU
rnacentral:tRNA from 1 species